rnacentral:tmRNA from 1 species
GGGGGUGACCGGCUUUGACGGUCUGUUCCUUGAAAGACGUUCGACGCAGUGCACGCUCGUAUGACACUCCAAAUCCAACGAGCAACCAAACUUGCCAAGAACACUCUUGCAAGCGUGAAGUCUCCGUACUUCGGUAUGCGUGAUUUCGCGUUCGCGUACGCGACUGCCUAACGGCUUCUCGCCUGCGCGACGUUCACCCUCCCGAGUUUCUGCAGUCGGAGGACUGAGCGGAAUUAUCUGCGGAAUCGAUGUCCCGUAUCCCGGAGGGCACAUUUAAACAAGGGAUCGGGCAGGAAUGGUUUCGUCUGCGUUCCUCGCAUCCUGCCUUAGACACUAACGCCGACUACGCGUCGUAGACCCGCUUUCAUGGGCAGAUUCGGACCGGAGUUCAACUCUCCGCACCUCCACAA